AUACGGAAGGUCCGGGCGUUAUCCGGAUUUAUUGGGUUUAAAGGGAGCGCAGGCGGAGAUGCAAGCGUGACGUCAAAUUUUGGGGCUCAACCCCGUCUCGCGUCGCGAACUGCGUCCCUUGGUUGCGGGAAGGGGAGGCGGAACUCGUGGUGUAGCGGUGAAAUGCAUAGAUAUCACGAGGAACUCCGAUUGCGCAGGCAGCUUACUAAACCAUAACUGACGCUCAGGCACGAAGGCGUGGGGAUCAAACAGGAUUAGAUACCCUGGUAGUCCACGCAGUAAACGAUGAUUACUCGCUGUUUGCGAUACACAGCAAGCGGCUUAGCGAAAGCGUUAAGUAAUCCACCUGGGGAGUACGUUCGCAAGAAUGAAACUCAAAUGAAUUGACGGGG
rnacentral:rRNA from 1 species